GUUAGGAAUAUUGCACAAUGGACGAAAGUCUGAUGCAGCGACGCCGCGUGAGGGAUGAAGGCUUUCGGGUCGUAAACCUCUUUUCUCAGGGAAGAUUAUGACGGUACCUGAGGAAUAAGCUCCGGCUAACUACGUGCCAGCAGCCGCGGUAAUACGUAGGGAGCAAGCGUUAUCCGGAAUUACUGGGCGUAAAGAGUUCGUAGGUGGUUUUUUAAGUCAGAUGUUAAAUCUCUGGGCUCAACCCAGAGCCUGCAUUUGAUACUGAAGAACUUGAGGUAAGGAGAGGUAAGCGGAAUUUGUAGUGUAGGGGUGAAAUCCGUAGAUACUACAAGGAACACCAAUGGCGAAGGCAGCUUACUGGCCUUAUCCUGACACUGAGGAACGAAAGCGUGGGGAGCGAAAGGGAUUAGAUACCCUUGUAGUCC
rnacentral:rRNA from 1 species